AACACCGGCGGCCCGAGUGGUGAUCGUGAUUAUUGGGUCUAAAGGGUCCGUAGCCGGUUUGGUCAGUCCUCCGGGAAAUCUGAUAGCUCAACUAUUAGGCUUUCGGGGGAUACUGCCAGACUUGGAACCGGGAGAGGUAAGAGGUACUACAGGGGUAGGAGUGAAAUCUUGUAAUCCCUGUGGGACCACCUGUGGCGAAGGCGUCUUACCAGAACGGGUUCGACGGUGAGGGACGAAAGCUGGGGGCACGAACCGGAUUAGAUACCCGGGUAGUCCCAGCCGUAAACGAUGCUCGCUAGGUGUCAGGCAUGGCGCGACCGUGUCUGGUGCCGCAGGGAAGCCGUGAAGCGAGCCACCUGGGAAGUACGGCCGCAAGGCUGAAACUUAAAGGAAUUGGCGGGGGAGCACAACAACGGGUGGAGCCCUGCGGUUUAAUUGGACUCAACGCCGGACAACUCACCGGGGGCGACAGCAAUAUGUAGGCCAAGCUGAAGACUUUGCCUGAAUCGCUGAGGAGUGGUGCAUGG
rnacentral:rRNA from 1 species